GCUACCACAUCCAAGGAAGGCAGCAGGCGCGCAAAUUACCCAAUCUCGACACGAGGAGGUAGUGACAAUAAAUAACAAUGCAGGGCUUUUUAAGUCUUGCAAUUGGAAUGAGUACAACUUAAAACCCUUAACGAGGAUCAAUUGGAGGGCAAGUCUGGUGCCAGCAGCCGCGGUAAUUCCAGCUCCAAUAGCGUAUAUUGAUGUUGCUGCAGUUAAAAAGCCCGUAGUUGGAUUUCGGGAUGGAACGGAUGGUCUGCCUUCGGGUGUGUACCGUUUGGCCUGUUCUUUUAUCUGGGGAAAUUUUCUGCUCUUUAUUGAGUGGGAGAGGGACUCAGGUCUUUUACUUUGAAAAAAUUAGAGUGUUCAAAGCAGGCUUACGCUUGAAUACAUUAGCAUGGAAUAAUAAAAUAAGACUUUGGUCUUAUUUUGUUGGUUUCUAGGACUGAAGUAAUGAUUAAUAGGGACGGUUGGGGGCAUUGAUAUUUAAUUGUCAGAGGUGAAAUUCUUGGAUUUAUGAAAGAUUAACUUCUGCGAAAGCAUUUGCCAAGGACGCUCCCAUUAAUCAUGAACGAAAGUCAGGGGAUCGAAGACGAUCAGAUACCGUCGUAGUCUUGACCAUAAACUAUGCCGGCUAGGGAUUGGUGGAUGUUAUUUUCAUGACUCCGUCAGCACCUUAUGAGAAAUCAAAGCAUUUGGG
rnacentral:rRNA from 1 species